rnacentral:rRNA from 1 species
CCUACGGGUGGCAGCAGUGAGGAAUAUUGGUCAAUGGACGCAAGUCUGAACCAGCCAUGCCGCGUGCAGGAUGACGGCUCUAUGAGUUGUAAACUGCGUUUGGACGAGGGUAAACCCCGAUACGUGUAUCGGGUUGAAUGUAUCGUACGAAUAAGGAUCGGCUAACUCCGUGCCAGCAGACGCGGUAAUACGGAGGAUACGAGCUUUAUCCGGAUUUAUUGGGGUUAAAGGGGGCGUAGGCGGUUUGAUAAGUUAGCGGUGAAAUGUCGGGGCUCAACGCCGCAACUGCCUCUAAUACUGUUUGACUAGAGAAUAGUUGCGGUAGGCGGAAUGUAUGGUGUAGCGGUGAAAUGCUUAGAGAUCAUACAGAACACCGGUUGCGAAGGCAGCUUACCAAACUAUAUCUGACGUUGAGGCACGAAAGCGUGGGUAGCAAACAGGAUUAGAUACCCCUGUAGUC